rnacentral:rRNA from 1 species
CCUACGGGAGGCAGCAGUAGGGAAUCUUCCACAAUGGGCGAAAGCCUGAUGGAGCAACGCCGCGUGGGUGAAGAAGGUCUUCGGAUCGUAAAACCCUGUUGUUAGAGAAGAAAGUGCGUGAGAGUAACUGUUCACGUUUCGACGGUAUCUAACCAGAAAGCCACGGCUAACUACGUGCCAGCAGCCGCGGUAAUACGUAGGUGGCAAGCGUUGUCCGGAUUUAUUGGGCGUAAAGCGAGUGCAGGCGGUUUAAUAAGUUUGAUGUGAAAUCCCUUGGCUCAACCUG